AACUUCUCUUUUCUUCCCUCUCCCUCUCUCGUUUCUCUUUCCCCACGAUCUCCAAACCUCGCCUCUCUCGAGUAAACGAAAACCCUAACUCAGUCACAACUAUAACCACCUUUACUUCCAGAACAAACACAGAAGAAUCCCCGAUCUUCUUCUUCUCAUAUAUGGAUGUUUUUGGUAACAAAAUCGACUUCAUCUGAAAUCGCUCAUCUCUUGUGUAAAAAAAUCACUCUUCUCUUUGUCUAAGCUAUCGACUUCAUCUGAAAUCGGUCAAGGGUUUGCUCAAGUCACUGUGUUUUCAUUACUCUUUCUCUAGCAGAUGAAGAUUGAUGAACAAGAUGAAGGAUGCUGGAACUUCUAAAAGAGAACAUGCAGUCAUGGAGAAGAUUAAAGAAGCACACAGGAGAGUGAUGGUGGCUAACCAUCCUCACAAGGGUGGGAGCAUGUAUCUUGCUAAAAAUAUCAACGAGGCUGAGGUACUUUUGAUGGAUGAGGGUCGAUUUCAAUUCUUUCCAUGUGAAGGUAGGACUGAUUGUUGAGCUAGAAGUCAUAGAACAAGUCAAGAUGGUGUUUUAUAAAACAAGAAGAAAAUCAACCAAGAGGGAUCUAGUAAUGGCUUGUCUGAAGAAAUUUCUUUUAAGAUUCUGAAACAGGAAGUUAUAUCCAGAAAUGUACUGGUUGAUGAAUGUUCAAGGCAGGUUGUCGAGGUGGAGCAAGCAACCAUGUGGAAGUUUCUUUGGUGGUCGGGAAUCAUAGCUGUCCAUGUUAUGGUUGGCCAAAGCAUAGAUGAUCACUCGAAACUUUUCUCCAGCACUUCCUCCUCAAGCCUUUGUCUUUUAUUUCCUUCUUGGUUUGCGGGAUGAGUUCAGCUUGUUGAUGUACUUUAUGCUGAGUGUUUGCAUUUGUCUCUUUGUGAAGGAAGGACUCAUGCUGGUUGUUGCAACAAUCUGACAAGAUAUAUGCUGGAGCAUUUUGACAGUGAUUCAGUGAUUCGAAUCACAGGUAACUGAUGCUUCUCUCUUCUGAAAACUUAACUGGAUGCAAUCAUGUUCCAAAGUCAUUGAUUUGGUUUUAUGCAUGGAUUUCUAUUUUGUAAUUUGAUUCUUCACAAGAUAUACGAAGGUGAUGGUUUUCCCGAUGUGUUUGAUUUGUCAUUGUUGUCUCAUGUCAGGGUUCGUAAUCUUAUUAGUACCUUAAAGUUUGUAUAACGUCAGUAGUCUGUUCGGUCUGAACUAACCCAUGAACAUCACCCUAAUAGUAUUGCUCAGCAAAGAACUCUUCGCCCGCUGACCAGAAUCCAUCUCAUUUAUUUUGAUGCUUCUUAUAUAGAAUCUAAUCGUACUAUUAGAAUUGGUAUCAUUCUUCUUGAUAAUGCAGGAAACUUUUGGGGUGCCAAAACAGUCCCAAGCACAACAUGAGAUGCUUAACAUGUUGAAGCCAAGGCUCUUCUUGUAGCCACACUAUGGGUUAACGAGCUGGAACUGCAUUUUACUUCAAAGGGGACUGAAUCAUUCUGAAGAUGUAUGCUAUGCUAUCUAGUGUUCAAAUCACCAUAGUUAACUAUUGCUGUUAUAGUGGUCUCUGUCAAGUUUUCUAGAUUUUUGGUGUAGUUAGUGUCAGAA